UACGAAGGGGGCUAGCGUUGUUCGGAAUCACUGGGCGUAAAGCGCACGUAGGCGGAUUGUUAAGUCGGGGGUGAAAUCCUGAGGCUCAACCUCAGAACUGCCUUCGAUACUGGCGAUCUUGAGUUCGGAAGAGGUUGGUGGAACAGCUAGUGUAGAGGUGAAAUUCGUAGAUAUUAGCUAGAACACCAGUGGCGAAGGCGGCCAACUGGUCCGAUACUGACGCUGAGGUGCGAAAGCGUGGGGAGCAAACAGG
rnacentral:rRNA from 1 species